ACUGGUGACUUGCUAAUCAAUACCAGACCACUUACCAGGCACUCUGCCUAGGGGGAGAAUACAUCGCUCCAGGUCUUCAAAGACUUCAAAUACCGUCCCAAGUCAAGAAGCCAAGUUAUACAGCGAGCUAAAACCAUCCCCAGGAACUGGUGUCCCAAAUCUAAACAAUGAGGCUGGAUUCCACAGCGGGCAAGCGAGCAGAGGGCACGGCGAGAAGAGGCCCUCGGGGAGGACAGAGACAGCAACCUUGCAGGCAGACACAGGUGGGCUCUGCCAGUCAUGCUCUCACUCACACAUGUCACACAGCGCUCAGCCUCAUAAUGGGAGAAAAUCACAGCAAACAAAGCUAGAAAGCACAGCUGAGGAGAGGAAGAUAAACCGAGAUAAAUCAUGAAGAGCGGUUGAAAUCAGCUACCGACGGGCGUGACCCACAGCAGGUGCCUGACGGCUGGUUCCCAGUCCAGCCCAGCUCAGGCACAUGAGGCGUCCGGGGGCCUCCCAGCACUGCACAGCCCUUUCCACACCUCCUGGGCAGUGACCUUCACCUCUGCUCCACCAUGGCCACCCCUACCCUGGGACUUGUCAUCACACAAGUGCACUCUGAAGUCCCACUCCCUGACGGCAGCGUCCGAAGCUGCUAGGAAACCACCGGCUUCCAGGCCAGCCACCCAACAGCCUCUGAGACUCAGUUUCCUCAUCUGUAAGAUGGGGUUGCUAUUACCUGCUUUGCCCAGCACUCAGGGCUGCUGGAAGAAUCAAAUAUGAUGGUGCACGUGAAGCUGCUUCGCCAGUGAUGACAUUCUAGCAAGCUAGCAAAUAGUUGUCCCAGCUCCUUCAUGCAUAACUGCCAGAGGGGCCACUCAGUCUCCCGCAAAGACUGUUUUAUUUACGUCGCUCAGGACCUUUACGGCAUAGGCUUGUCAAUAUCGGCUUGUGGUUAAGGGGAGCUCUGGAAUCAAGCCCUCUGUGUCCAGAUCCCUGCCUCAGAUGCUACCAGCCACGUGACCUGAGUGUAUUAUAUAACUUCAGCGUGACUCAGCGCCCUCUUCUGAAAGAGGGGAUGUAUGAUGGUGACAGGGCCAUCCCAUUGGGUCAUUGUGGGUAUUCAAUGAGAGGGCAUAGGACAGUGGCUGAGUGCUCAAUACCCGUUAGUCAGCUGGGUGUGGUGGCUCACUCCUGUAAUUCCAGCACUUUUGGAGGCUGAAGUAGGUGGACCACCUGAGGUCAGGAGUUUGAGACCAGCUUGGCCAACACGGCAAAACUCCGUCUCUGCUAGCCAAAUGUGGUGGUGCGCACCUGUAAUCCCAGCUACUCAGGAGGCUGAAGCAGGAGAAUCCCUUGAACCCGGGAGGCAGAGGUUGCAGUGAGCCGAGGUCACACCAUUGCACUCCAGC
rnacentral:lncRNA from 13 species